rnacentral:rRNA from 1 species
CCUUAUUGGAGAGUUUGAUCCUGGCUCAGGACGAACGCUGGCGGCGUGCCUAAUACAUGCAAGUCGAGCGGAGUAUUUUUGAGAGCUUGCUCUCCAGAAUACUUAGCGGCGGACGGGUGAGUAACACGUAGGCAACCUGCCCCUUGAACUGGGAUAACUACCGGAAACGGUAGCUAAUACCGGAUAAUUCCUCUUGGCACCUGCUGGGAGGCUGAAAGGCGGAGCAAUCUGCUGUCAAGGGAUGGGCCUGCGGCGCAUUAGCUAGUUGGUGGGGUAACGGCUCACCAAGGCGACGAUGCGUAGCCGACCUGAGAGGGUGAACGGCCACACUGGGACUGAGACACGGCCCAGACUCCUACGGGAGGCAGCAGUAGGGAAUCUUCCGCAAUGGGCGAAAGCCUGACGGAGCAACGCCGCGUGAGUGAUGAAGGUUUUCGGAUC